rnacentral:rRNA from 1 species
GAAAUUACUGGGCGUAAAGCGUGCGCAGGCGGCGCGUUAAGACAGGUKGUGAAAGCCCCGAGCUUAACUUGGGAAUUGCGCUUGUGAYUGGCGAGCUGGAGCGUGGCAGAGGGAGGUGGAAUUCCACGUGUAGCAGUGAAAUGCGUAGAGAUGUGGAGGAACACCGAUGGCGAAGGCAGCCUCCUGGGCCAGCACUGACGCUCAUGCACGAAAGCGUGGGGAGCAAACAGGAUUAGAUACCCUGGUAGUCCACGCCCUAAACGAUGUCAACUGGUUGUUGGUGGGGUUAAACCCAUUAGUAACGAAGCUAACGCGUGAAGUUGACCGCCUGGGGAGUACGGCCGCAAGGUUAAAACUCAAAGGAAUUGACGGGGACCCGCACAAGCGGUGGAUGAUGUGGAUUAAUUCGAUGCAACGCGAAGAACCUUACCUACCCUUGACAUGCCAGGGAGCCCGCUGAGAGGUGGGUGUGCCCGAAAGGGAGCCUGGACACAGGUGCUGCAUGGCUGUCGUCAGCUCGUGUCGUGAGAUGUUGGGUUAAGUCCCGCAACGAGCGCAACCCUUGUCACUAGUUGCUACGGUAACGGGCACUCUAGUGAGACUGCCGGUGACAAACCGGAGGAAGGUGGGGAUGACGUCAAGUCCUCAUGGCCCUUAUGGGUAGGGCUUCACACGUCAUACAAUGGCGCAUACAGAGGGCAGCCAACCCGCGAGGGGGAGCCAAUCCCAGAAAGUGCGUCGUAGUCCGGAUUGCAGUCUGCAACUCGACUGCAUGAAGUCGGAAUCGCUAGUAAUCGCGGAUCAGCAAUGUCGCGGUGAAUACGUUCCCGGGUCUUGUACACACCGCCCGUCACACCAUGGGAGUGGGUUUCACCAGAAGCCGGUUGCCUAACCUGAAAGGGGGGGCGCUGACCACGGUGAGAUUCAUGACUGGGGUGAAGUCGUAACAAGGUAAC